GGAGGAGAAGUCCAUGCCAUCCAAUAGUUGCUUGCUACUUGCAGUACCUGGAAAAAUAUAUGUGCUAUGACUAUUAUGGGAACCAAGGCUCCUCCUCGGACUGCAGUCAGCAUAAUCAUUUAAGGAAAAAGAAGUUCAGCAGUUCCGUUUUACCAGGAUAAGGUCUGCUACUGGAAGAAAUUCGACUUGAUGGGUAACAUAAAGCACAGUUUUGUCUCUGAGGACACCCAUCAAACAAUCCUGCAGAGGAAGGACAAAUCUUUUAAACAACAUGCAAAGAGUUUUACAUACUGGAAAGAUUGUGAGAGAGCAGAGGGAGGGUAUCAUUUGUUUAAAGGAUAUUUUUAGAAGACAACCUUGAACAGUUGAGUGCCUGUAUGAGCAUCCAAAGCACUGAAAGGGUCAUCAAGAAGGUCCCCAUUAGCAAAGAGUUCAAAAUCCUUCUUCAAUGCACAAACUUCAAUUAUAUUUUCGUACUUUUCAUUGUCAAAAGGAAUACCGAAGACAAUGUUUUCUCUGACAUUU